GACAGAGGGUGCAACCGUUGCUCGGAAUCACUGGGCGUAAAGGGCGUGUAGGCGGGAAGGAAAGUCAGAUGUGAAAUCCCCAGGCUCAACCUGGGAACUGCAUUUGAAACUCCCUUUCUUGAGUAUCGGAGAGGAAAGCGGAAUUCCUGGUGUAGAGGUGAAAUUCGUAGAUAUCAGGAGGAACACCAGCGGCGAAGGCGGCUUUCUGGACGAUAACUGACGCUGAGACGCGAAAGCGUGGGGAGCAAACAGG
rnacentral:rRNA from 1 species